UCCAGCCUCUGAUGUGGUGAGUUUGGACGGCAGCAGCAGUCUGGUGUUCAGGUUGACCCCCGACCCGAGGCAGACGUCCAGAGAGGUCGUCUCUCUGAAGUUUAAAACCCUGAGGAAUUCUGGGACGCUGCUGCAUGCAGAGGGAGAGAGAGGGAGAGGACUCAGUCUGGAGUUGGAGAGAGGAAAGCUGCAGCUGCUGCUCAGACAAGGCAGGACUUCUUCCUCUGAGCCCCGGCGUCUCUCCUCCCUCGGCAGCCUGCUGGAUGAUCAGCAUUGGCAUCAUUUAGCGGUGGAGCGGCGCAGCGCUCACCUCAACCUCACUGUGGACAAACACACGGAGAGGAUUCAGAUCCCUGCAGAGUUCAGCCACUGGAACAUCCAGCAGCUGAGUGUGGGGACAUUCCAGAGCCUCGGCUCUCAGAAACCAGUCGUCUCUAAGAGGGGUUUUCAUGGCUGCCUUGAAAACGUGUUGUUCAACGGCCUCAACUUGAUAGAUCUAGCCAAACACAAAGACCACCGAGUUACCC